rnacentral:rRNA from 1 species
CGGACCGGCGCACGGGUGAGUAACACGUAUGCGACCUGCCCGUAGCAGGGGGAUAAGCGGAAGAAAUUCCGUCUAAUACCGCGUAAUAUCUUUCGGGGGCAUCCCUGAGGGAUUAAAGGAAGUGAUUCCGGCUACGGAUGGGCAUGCGGCGCAUUAGCUAGUCGGCGGGGUAACGGCCCACCGAGGCGACGAUGCGUAGGGGUUCUGAGAGGAAGGUCCCCCACACUGGUACUGAGACACGGACCAGACUCCUACGGGAGGCAGCAG